GACGCUACACAUAAACCCGACGAAAAGAACUCUUUCGGUUGAAAUUUGAAAUAUGGGUAGACCGUAGCCUCGCUGUCUGUGUAAAACUGCCCUCAUAGCACACUGCAUGACGUAUGCGAGUCUUGAAUAGCCCAGUCUGUGCAGAAAAUAGUGUUAAAUCCUUCUCCAUUUCAUAGACCCGAUGUGACAAAUAAUACAGUGUGACCUUUACCGUAUACAUCUUAUUACUGACAGCGCGAGUAGUUUAUUUUAUACUAAAUUAACUAUAUAUAGCUGACGUUGUAUAUAUACAAACGCUCAGUUUACAGUCGUGGUGUGAUAAUAUGCUGAUAUAUUCAAAGUUUAGAUUCAUAGCCAUGUUUGUGUGAAUAUAGAAACAUUAUUGACGAUAUUAUAACGGAUGUAGUAGUGAAACAGAGAAUAAUACAGUCUGACAAAAAAGGAGAAGAACUCGUUGGUAACAAACCGGAAGUUCAUUUUAGACAAAUCAAGGAUUUCAAGAUACGAGACGAUGACGUCAUGAUAUGUGCUUAUCCAAAAGCAGGUACUCACUGGAUCUGGGAAGUUAUUCAAAUGUUACGAAGUCAAUCUACAGAAUAUAACAAACAGAUCAAGGAGAAACAAAUGUUAGAAUUCGGCAUGCUGGCAGAAAUUGACCAGGAACCGUCCCCACGUCUUCUUAAUUCACACUUAUGGCCGCGACAUUUACCCACAGAGAUGUUCUCAAAGAAAACCAAAAUUAUUUAUCUGCUUCGGAACCCAAAAGACACAAUUGUGUCAUAUUUCUUCCACAUCAGCGCAACAGAUGUUACCGUAAAGUACUAUGGAACUAUCAGAGAUUUCAUAGAUAUGUCUUUGUAUAAAACUUUACCGUAUGGAACGUGGUAUGACUACGUUCUAGAGUGGGAGAAGUUCUUUGAAACAACUGAAAAUCCAUUUUAUCAGUUUAGCUAUGAAGAUAUGCACGAGAAUCCAGCAGAACAUGUAAAUGGCUUAGCUAAAUUUCUAGAUUUGCGAGCGUCUGAUGAGUUAUGCAAAGCUAUAGUUGAAGCUUGUAGCUUUAAGAAAUUAAAGAAAGCUAAUGAGGAAAUUAAAGAUAAUUUUCUCAAAUAUGAAUGGAAGGAAGGAGUAUCUAUCUAUCGAGAAGGUAAAGUAGGAGAUUGGAAAAAUUGGUUAACUGUUGCUGAAAGUGAAAGUUUUGAUAAAGUUACAGAAGAAAAACUAAAGAAUAGUAAAGUGAAAGUCAGAUAUACCUUAUGAAUAUAGACAGUAACCUUAUUUCUAGAUGUAAGAUGACAUAACAAUAACUACAUUCUAAACUUACGCUGUUCGUCAAUUAGCUCAGCUUGAGAACAAACACGAAGCUAAUUGACCGACAUUUUAAUUCGUAAAUCGACGAAAACAUUAAGUAUAUUUAGAGAAUUUUGAGAAGUGUUUAUCCUGCUUCCAUUUAAUUAAAUCGAUUUUUUGUUUG